rnacentral:rRNA from 1 species
GACGAACGCUGGCGGCGUGCCUAAUACAUGCAAGUAGAACGCUGAAGGAGGAGCCUGCUCUUCUGGAUGAGUUGCGAACGGGUGAGUAACGCGUAGGUAACCUGCCUGGUAGCGGGGGAUAACUAUUGGAAACGAUAGCUAAUACCGCAUAACAUUGACUAUUGCAUGAUAGUCAAUUGAAAGGUGCAAAUGCACCACUACCAGAUGGACCUGCGUUGUAUUAGCUAGUUGGUGGGGUAACGGCUCACCAAGGCGACGAUACAUAGCCGACCUGAGAGGGUGAUCGGCCACACUGGGACUGAGACACGGCCCAGACUCCUACGGGAGGCAGCAGUAGGGAAUCUUCCGCAAUGGACGCAAGUCUGACGGAGCAACGCCGCGUGAGUGAAGAAGGUUUUCGGAUCGUAAAACUCUGUUGUUAGAGAAGAACAAGUGCUAGAGUAACUGUUAGCGCCUGACG